rnacentral:rRNA from 1 species
AAGAUCCCUGAAAGAUGAUCAGGUUGAUAGGUUCGAGGUGGAAGUGUGGUGACACAUGGAGCUGACGAAUACUAAUCGAUCGAGGACUUAACCAAUUU